rnacentral:rRNA from 1 species
UACGUAGGGUGCAAGCGUUGUCCGGAAUUAUUGGGCGUAAAGAGCUCGUAGGCGGUCUGUCGCGUCGGCUGUGAAAACUCGGGGCUCAACCCCGAGCCUGCAGUCGAUACGGGCAGACUAGAGUGCGGUAGGGGAGACUGGAAUUCCUGGUGUAGCGGUGAAAUGCGCAGAUAUCAGGAGGAACACCGGUGGCGAAGGCGGGUCUCUGGGCCGUAACUGACGCUGAGGAGCGAAAGCGUGGGGAGCAAGCAGG